rnacentral:rRNA from 1 species
GACGAACGCUGGCGGCGUGCUUAACACAUGCAAGUCGAACGGUAAGGCCCUGCGUUUGGGGGGUGCUCGAGUGGCGAACGGAUGAGUUACACAAGCUUAACCCGCCCCUGACUUUAGUAUAACUUCAGGGAACUGAGGCUGAUACCGGAUCGCAUCUCCUGCUGCAUGGUGUGGGUUGGAAAUUUUCGGCGGUUGGGGAUGGCCUCGCGGCUUAUCAGCUUGUUGGUGGGGUAGUGGCUUACCAAGGCCUUGACGGGUAGCCGGCCUGAGAGGGUGACCGGCCACAUUGGGACUGAGACACGGCCCAGACUCCUACGGGAGGCAGCAGUGGGGAAUAUUGCGCAAUGGGCGGAAGCCUGACGCAGCAACGCCGCGUGGGGGAUGACGGCCUUCGGGUUGUAAACCUCUUUCGGCUGGGACGAAGCGUGAGUGACGGUACCGGGAAAAGAAGCACCGGCCAACUACGUG